rnacentral:rRNA from 1 species
UCCUACGGGACGCAGCAGUAGGGAAUCUUCGGCAAUGGACGAAAGUCUGACCGAGCAACGCCGCGUGAGUGAAGAAGGUUUUCGGAUCGUAAAACUCUGUUGGUAGAGAAGAACGUUGGUGAGAGUGGAAAGCUCAUCAAGUGACGGUAACUACCCAGAAAGGGACGGCUAACUACGUGCCAGCAGCCGCGGUAAUACGUAGGGGGCUAGCGUUGUCCGGAAUGACUGGGCGUAAAGGGUGCGUAGGCGGCAUAAUAAGUUAGA